UCUGCCUAAACAGUGCAAGUUCGAAGCGAACAGAUAAGGAGCUUGCUCCUUUGACGUUAGCGGCGGACGGGUGAGUAACACGUGGAUAACCUACCUAUAAGACUGGGAUAACUUCGGGAAACCGGAGCUAAUACCGGAUAACAUAUUGAACCGCAUGGUUCAAUAGUGAAAGGCGGCUUUGCUGUCACUUAUAGAUGGAUCCGCGCCGUAUUAGCUAGUUGGUAAGGUAACGGCUUACCAAGGCAACGAUACGUAGCCGACCUGAGAGGGUGAUCGGCCACACUGGAACUGAGACACGGUCCAGACUCCUACGGGAGGCAGCAGUAGGGAAUCUUCCGCAAUGGGCGAAAGCCUGACGGAGCAACGCCGCGUGAGUGAUGAAGGUCUUCGGAUCGUAAAACUCUGUUAUCAGGGAAGAACAAAUGUGUAAGUAACUGUGCACAUCUUGACGGUACCUGAUCAGAAAGCCACGGCUAACUACGUGCCAGCAGCCGCGGUAAUACGUAGGUGGCAAGCGUUAUCCGGAAUUAUUGGGCGUAAAGCGCGCGUAGGCGGUUUUUUAAGUCUGAUGUGAAAGCCCACGGCUCAACCGUGGAGGGUCAUUGGAAACUGGAAAACUUGAGUGCAGAAGAGGAAAGUGGAAUUCCCUGUGUAGCGGUGAAAUGCGCAGAGAUAUGGAGGAACACCAGUGGCGAAGGCCACUUUUGGUCCGUAACUGACGCUGAUUUGCGAAAGUGUGGGGAUCAAAAGGAAAUUAUACCCGGGUGUCCCC
rnacentral:rRNA from 1 species